rnacentral:tRNA from 4 species
GGCUCGAUGGUGUAGUUGGUUAUCACGUUCGCCUCACACGCGAAAGGUCGCGAGUUCGAGCCUCGCUUGAGUCA